GGGAGGGCUGGGGCGAGGGUGGACUGGAGGUUCUGCGCGGCCUGGGGGUGGGAGAGAGAGAGAGCGGCUUUGCCGCCUGGUCUGGGUCCAAAUCCUGCCUUGGUUCUUGUGCUCCCGAAGGGAACGCGCACGUCCCGCGCCUGUGACAAGUGAGGUUGGAUUUUCUCUUGCCUGAGGUGAAGGAUGCCCGGAGGCCUGGGCAGGACGGCGCGGAAACGGGCCUUCUGCCCAAUGGAUAUGCGCUUCUCUCCUUAUUCUUUUCCCUCGGAAUCGGAAUCUCGCUGUGGCCUCGCAACCACCUGUGGUCGGCGUCGCCGCGUUGUCACUGCGAUGCCUAGGCGAGCGGGGUGGCGGGAAGCACCCGCGGGGCGGGGAGGGAACCUGCAGGCUCGGACUCCACACCUAGCCUCUGCCCAGCGUCACCCAGCUUGCUGUGUCCUCGCCGGUGGGAGCUUCAUGGCCUGACGCCUUCAGGAAGUAUUUUGAAGUCAUCGUGGCUGUGGAUUGGGGAAUUUCUUGUUUCCACUGACCUGUGAGGCCGCGCACGUGCAGGGAAGUACCCCAGAGCCUCCGGCACUGUGCAGCCUGGCCUGUGUCCCCAGUAGCACCAGUGGGCAUUUCUGGAGGGUCUAGCUCGUGGCUCAAGUGACAGGAAGAUGUAGGAGCUUUCAGUCUUGGAUGAGGGUUCGAACUGAAGGGCUUAGGCCCAGCAGUCUUGGAGCAAAGCGGCUGUUGUGGGGUAAGAAAAGAAGGGUAGGGGGCGAGGGCUCAGGGGCCCUCCUAGGAGGACACCCGACCAGUUGGGCUGAGACCUCAUUAGAGAUCUAGAGCACGGGUGGGAGGAGCAGAGGCUCGAUUUGUGUCCUGUCCAGACUCCCACAGGCUGGGUGAUGGUGGGAGCUUUGUGCUCAUUCAGAUGUAGCGGCAGAGGAGGGCAAGGCCGAAGGAGCAGACAGCACUACCUCUUGGGGAGUUGUGAAGGCAUCAUGAGGAGGGAGGAGCUUAGCAGCUAAGUGGAGGAGAGCACCCUCCAUGCCUGGAUUCGUUACUUGCUCGUUCUAGAUGCUGAACUGCUGGCGCACUGCAGCACAACUAGAGAUGUACGGAUGCCCCCAUCUUGAUCUUACGGAAUCAGAGCUGCAGCCGCAAGAAAGUUUUCUGUUUCGGCUUUAUUUAAAAGAUGGGGUGGGGUGGGGUAGACAGGAAACGAGCUUAACGUGUUAAGUGACUGAUGACAUUGACACAUUUUGUUUGGCAGAGUCAAGAACAGACACUAAAUCGCUUGAGGACCCAGGAGGGUGUUUGCUGCUUUGACAACAGACUAUACCCUCACAGUUUGCUCUGUUCUUCCAACACCAGUGGAAGAUGAUCACAUCCCAGAUAUACCUUUGGAGUCCAACCCUUCUGACCAUCCAGAGGCAAGCACAAUAUUCCCGAGAAAAUCUCCAACAGAUGUCAGACCUUGGCGAUAUAUUAUCAUAUCAAGCAAAGGAAUGAGUUGGAAAGGCAAUUCUUGAAGCUAAUUAAUUAUAAUAUCAGCAUUACUGGCAGUCUUAUAGCAGAUUCUACUUCAAUAUUCGCACCUUGGCACACGACAACAGCCUGUAUUCUCCAGUUUAUCUUCUUGACAGAGAAAGAGCAUGAAAGCUGGAGGCUUUUUCAAGGAUGGAACAAUACAAAGUUUUCUAUAGUGCUGCCAAGAAUGGGUCUUUGAGUGCUGAUGAUUUAAUUCAUCUUCAGCGUGCUAAGGCCAUCCUCUUCUGAAGGAAGAAAUGAGGGGUAAUGUAACAUCUGAACCCCUCAUCAAAAAAGAUGGGAAAAUAUCACUUCUCCUGGCUAAAGAACUAAAAAAGUUGGUAUUUUCAAAAGAAGAAACACCUCAAUUCAAGUAAACUCAAGGACAACUAAGAUUGUACUUCAUAGUAAAGAACAAGACCUUGUCAGGGUAACAACACACUCUUACACUAUUCUGUCCUGUUUAAUGUAAAAGGAGUUGUAAAAACCACUCCAAAGUGAAGACUCCUUCUGCCCACGCACAGAUAUUUGCUUAGUAUGUGGGCUAAUAGCUGUGAUCUAUGUGAGACUUUUAAAACAAUAGCUUAACUUUUUAGAUUUUAAAGAUAACUUUUCUGUUUAUGUUUUCUCUUUUCCCCAAUAUUGCUGCAUUUGGAAUCAGUGCAGUAUCACUGUUAAAACAUGGGAGUCUAACAACUCCUAAAGCCACUAGGAGCAGACCCAGAAUUGUCAGGUAUGGAAGGGCUCUUCCUUCCUACUUUUAGCAGUAACUACUAGUUACUGGUGAUUAUCAAGCAAAAGUUACCAGAUAACAUUUGCCAUUCACAUCCUGUGUAAGCCCUUCUUAUUAGCAGUUUAGCAUGUUUGGGGUCAUAAAAAGAGAAAAUAUUGGUUAUUGAUUAUCUACUUUUAUGAAGGUCUGUGGUGUAUUUCUUGUGAACUAUAAUGGUUCUCAUUUGCUGAUAAAUUUCCUUAUUGUCAAGUAAAUGUAUUCAAAGAUGAUUUCAUAGUGCCAAGCAACAUGAUGAUCCAGUGGUAAUGUAAAAAUAAUAAAAUAUGAGGUGUCCUGAAAGUUUUGGGGCAGUUUUUAGCUUUAAUAUAGUGUGCCUGGGCCCUCGAGAAGUCUACAGCAUAUAUGUACAUGCUGUAAAUAUUUACAAAAUAUCAUUUGGAAGUGUAAUUGUAUUCCUUCUUUUUAUUUUUAAUAGAUGGUGUCUCACUAUAUUGCCCAAGCUACAGUGCAAUCAGAGACACAAUCAUAGCGCACCACAGCCUGAAAACCCUGGCCUCAAGCAAUCUUCCCAUGUCAGUCUACCAGGUAGCUGGGACCAUAGGUGUGUACCACCGCCUCUAGGUUUAUUUUGCAGAAUUUGAAUGUUAAGCUUUUAACUUUUUGUUUCAGUCAAUAUCUGCUAUCUUCAAGAAGGGCUGAAAUGAAAAAUCAAAAGCUUAAUAUUCAGGAGCUAGGCAUGCUUGUAGUCCCAGCUACUCACAAGUCAUAAAUGGGAGAAUCACUUGAGGCUCAGCCUUGGA